AAGCAAUUCUUGACUUGUAGGAUCUUUCAGACUUAGGGGCUGCCAACACAUUGGACAAUUAGAACUUCUUUGAUGCCAUUCGAGGAUGCACUGGAGGUGAAACUCGUGCCUGCAGCUUGUUAGCGUUGAAGGAUCGCUAUCGCAGAAAGCUUCCAGACAAAUGCUGCACGCAUCGUCACAGGCAUCUUGAAUUCCUCCUUCCACA
rnacentral:misc_RNA from 1 species